AUCAAAUCCUUGCAAGAAAAGCUUCUUCUGAAUAAGCUCAUUUUGGACUUCUGCCUCUGAGAUGAAACCAUUUGGGACAGCUCCUUGUCUCCACUUGAGGUAUUUCAGGAACAUAGCAGAAGCCUUCUCGAUAUCUAGAUCACGUGCACGCAGAAACCUUCUGAGCAUCAGGUUGUCUGCCUCCUGCAUGUUUAAAACCCAGAAAAUACAUCACAGAUGAGAAGUUCCAAGGGAAACGCCUAAAGUCAAAUAGGAGAACUUUCAACCAUAAAGGAAAAAAAUGAGAAUGACAACAAAACAAAAGCAGAAAGUUACACAACAAUCUACGUGAGCGACCAAAAUCUGAACUCCAUAGAGAAAGAUCUAGUCUCCAAAGGUCAUUCAAGAAGAACAAACCUAUCAUUAGAAAAAUAAUUUGAUAUAGUACUAUGGAAUAGAUUAGUUUCAAAGAAAAUGCAUCAAAAGUGCAUAGAUAUCAGCAUCAAUAUAAAGAAAAUGCAUCAAGAGUGCAUAGAUAUCAGCAUCAAUAGAUUUUCGCUGAUUUCAGAUUUGAAAGUAAAGUUGUGCGAUCAUCAAUACGCAUGUACCACAUUAUGAGUAUCAAUCAAUUUAUUUUGUGCUGAGUGCUGAUGUUAGCUCAUGAAGAAAGGUAUGCCACCAGGGAAAAACAUAAUAAACUUGGUUUCCUAAUCCAAGUGAGCUCAGGAAUACAGCUGAUGAUAGGCCUCUAAACUAAUUUGUUAUCUAGGUACACUGGCUUUCUUUAGGAUUGUCCUUAACUUGGAAAAUAUAUUUACAGAUCAUGGAAUAGAGAAAGGGGAAUUGAAUCACAAAUAAUAGAAAUAAAACAUCAUGAAGCAAUCACCAAUUAGAAUGAAAGGUUGAGAGUUGAUUGAUAUAGUACAGCAGAUGUAAUCAAAGCCUAACGACAUCUUAAUAAGACAGGGUACCUUGACCGGUCGUAACAGAUAAUGCAUCCCUUAAUAGUAAUGGCUCGUUAAGAACAACUCAACUUGCAACCCAAAAGGCAAAAAACAAUCAGCUGGGUUACUUUCAAGAUUUAUUCUAUUAUGUAGUCAAGACUACCAUCUAUCCCACAUAAGUCUUCUUGUAGAAAAGUGUUGCAGAAUAGUAUCAUGGUUGACAAAUCAACCAACGAAAUUGUAGAAGAGACAAAUUGAAUCAAGAAAUUAGCAAACAAGUAUCGGAACAAAGUCAAAAAACAUAAAUGGAUGAAAACAGAAUCAACACACACAUUGCAUAAUGGUAUCAUGGUUGACAAAUCAACCAAUGAAAUUGUAGAAGAGACAAAUUGAAUCAAUAAAAUAGCAAACAAGUAUCGGAAAGAAGUCAAUAAAUAUAAAUGGAUGAAAACAGAAUCAACACAAAAGAUAAAAAUAGUAACAGAAAUCAACCAAACAGAGCACAAUGCUUCUUUUUCCUUCCUGGUCUGAACACAGUUAGAUGAUAUAAACAUAAUUAAGAAAUAGGGGGGUCUCAUAAGAUUUGGUGAAAGUAGAUGAAUAAUUUUUCCCAUAAAAUUAAAGUCAAUUAGAUNNNNNNNNNNNNNNNNNNNNNNNNNNNNNNNNNNNNNNNNNNNNNNNNNNNNNNNNNNNNNNNNNNNNNNNNNNNNNNNNNNNNNNNNNNNNNNNNNUUGCAAUGAACUUCUCCUGACCGCUAGGUAUUCUGGCACAUAUGUUGUCGAGAAGAUAUACAAUGAGACGCUUAAACUCAUCGAUAUCUCGCUUGGAGUAGUAGUGUCUAGCAGCAAAGCCAACUACUAUAGGGCGCCCCAUCUUAUCAAAUCCUUGCAAGAAAAGCUUCUUCUGAAUAAGCUCAUUUUGGACUUCUGCCUCUGAGAUGAAACCAUUUGGGACAGCUCCUUGUCUCCACUUGAGGUAUUUCAGGAACAUAGCAGAAGCCUUCUCAAUAUCUAGAUCACGUGCACGCAGAAACCUUCUGAGCAUCAGGUUGUCUGCCUAUACUUAUGGAAGAUCAAGAAAUCCAAAUAAUAGCUAUGUCACAACCCAGGAUCUCCUUUAAAAUAGCUAGUCAGAAGGUACUAUUUGGGUUUACCCAGGAUCUCAUCCAAAAUAGUUAGCUGGAAGAUAUUAUUUGGGUUCCUUAAUCCUCUAUAGGUACCCAAGAUCUAAACCGACAUGGGACUAAACAAACACUCGCACGGGUCCUCAUAGAGAUCAAUUUGUCCAUAAAGUGGGAGAUGUGGAAUGAGUGAACCAGAAGACUUUUCUAUUGAAAUAGUUUUAGUAUUCAUUACGAUUUGCAAACCACAUAUUCUAUUGUUGAAAGAUCACUCUUUGAAUAGUGCUCUUCCCUUUUACUUCAAUCAUUCCAAUUUUCCCCUUUCCUUUUGGUUUCUUCCAUCUCUUUCAUCAUCACAAGCCAGAAAACUACUCUUCGAUGCACCUCCCUCUCUCCCUCCCCCCCCCCCUCCCCCUUUUCUUCCUCCAAUGAAUCUUUUUCUAUCUCUAUUUCCUUGCCAAGAGUAAAUGCACGCAAAAUCAUCAACAAAUAAAGGCCAUAAAAACUCAGCAAAAAAAAAACACCAAAAAGACUAGUCUAAUCAAUAAGAACAAACCCAAAAAAUCUGAAUAAACUGACAAAAAACAAUCCGACUUAGAAUCAAAUAAUACCCAAGCCAAUUAAAAAGGAAAUAAAUCGACAACAAAAACAAAAACAAAAACGGAAAAGAAAGAACAGAGAUAGAUAGAGAGAGGUAAGUUGAAACCUUGGCAGCGGGGUCUUGGCGCUCGACGAGCGACCU
rnacentral:lncRNA from 1 species